CAGUAUAGUUAAUAAUGAAAAACUGAAAGCUUUUUCUAAUACCAAGAACAAGACAAGUAUGUCCACUCUGGCCACUUUUAU